rnacentral:rRNA from 1 species
GCCCAAGUUCUAGUUCUUUCUUCCCUCCAUGUAAAGAUGACGAAACAAAGCAUUUGAAGCGGCCAGUAAAGGAGAUUAAACCCCCCCCCCCAGACACUAUAGAAACAGUACCGCAAGGGAAAGAGAAUAAGCGACAAGAAGAAAAGACAAAACCUUGUACNUUUCGCAUCAUGGUUUAGCAAGACACGGUGAGGGAGGCCCCCCACGCUCAAAACCCAGAAACCAAGUGAGCUACCCCCCAACAGAAAACAACCCGUCUCUGUGGCAAAAGAGUGGGGAGAUUGGGGGGUAGUGGUGAAAAGCCAACCGAACUUGGCAAUAGCUGGUCACCCAAAAUUGAACCUAAGUUCUCCCUUGAGCCCAUUACCAUUCAGCCGGAAGAUCAAGGGGACUCUUUAGGGGUACAGCCCUAAUGAGGGGGGAUACAACCCCCCCCUGCGAGUAAGCCCCCCCCCCCCACCCGUAGGCCUUAAAGCAGCCACCAGUAAAAACAGCGUCAAAGCGCCCAACUACUAAUUCGCAACGCAUCAACCACCUCCAGCAAGAAUUAGGGUGACUCUACACACGUAGAAGAACCAAUGCUAAAACUAUUAAUAAGGACAACCCUCUAAGCACGCCCAUCAGUUAGAAACGGACCAACCCACCAACAGCUAUCAACCGCCCAAAGCAAACCCAAAAUCACACACCUUUCACCAAUUGUGACACCGACACUGGUGUGCCUAAAAGAAAGAUAAAAAGCCACAGAAGGAACUCGGCAAACACUGACUCCAACUGUUUACCAAAAACAUAACCUUUAGCCAACUAAAUAUUAAAGGCAUCGCCUGCCCAGUGAGAAAGUUUUCUUUAACGGCCGCGGUACCCUAACCGUGCGAAGGUAGCAUAAUCACUUGCCUAUUAAUCAUAGGCUGGCAUGAAAGGCUGCAUGAGAGUCAAACUGUCUCCUGUGGCCCAUCAAUGAAACUGAUCUUACAGUCAAAAAGCUGUAAUACCCACAUAAGACGAGAAGACCCUGUGAAACUUUCAACAACCUUUUUUCCGGGAAAAAAGUACUUUUAGUUGGGGCAACUUUGGAAAAAACCCAACUUCCAAACACCUGAACAACCACGACCACAUAGGCCAACAAGCCUUGACUAUGACCCAGUCCACCUGAUAAUUGAACCAAGCUACUCCAGGGAUAACAGCGCCAUCUUCUUCAAGAGCCCAUAUCAAAAAGAAGGUUUACGACCUCGAUGUUGGAUCAGGGCACCCAAGUGGCGCAGCCACUACUAAAGGUUCGUUUGUUCAACGAUUAAUAGC